AUUAUUUUGGCAGAAUUAUGCAUUGGACUUAGGAUCCAAUUAUGUGAGUUUAAAAUCUCACAAAUAAUA
rnacentral:tRNA from 1 species